rnacentral:rRNA from 1 species
AUUGAACGCUGGCGGCAUGCCUUACACAUGCAAGUCGAACGGUAACAGGUCUUCGGAUGCUGACGAGUGGCGAACGGGUGAGUAAUACAUCGGAACGUGCCUAGUAGUGGGGGAUAACUACUCGAAAGAGUGGCUAAUACCGCAUGAGAUCUACGGAUGAAAGCAGGGGAUCGCAAGACCUUGUGCUACUAGAGCGGCCGAUGGCAGAUUAGGUAGUUGGUGGGAUAAAAGCUUACCAAGCCGACGAUCUGUAGCUGGUCUGAGAGGACGAUCAGCCACCCUGGGACUGAGACACGGCCCAGACUCCUACGGGAGGCAGCAGUGGGGAACUUUGGACAGUGGGCGCAAGCCUGAUCCAGCAAUGCCGCGUGCAGGAUGAAGGCCUUCGGGUUGUAAACUGCUUUUGUACGGAACGAAAAGCCCUGGGUUAAUACCCUGGGGUCAUGACGGUACCGUAAGAAUAAGCACCGGCUAGCUACGUGCCAGCCGCCGCCGUAAGAC